UCAUGUAAUGCACAUGUAUGGCACAUAAAUUGAAAUCAUUAGAAAGGGCUGCAGAGUGAUGAGAAUUGGGCCCCUUAACUUUUCAUAUUUACCAAGAGGUAACAACAAACUCACUCUUCCUCACCUGUCACACCCAAGUAAGCAUAAGAAACUUGGAUGCAUUAUUUGAGGGUCUUGUAGCCAUAAAUUGAGAUAAGAAUGAGCAGGUAAAGAGGGUUGGUUCAUGGCUGGUAGGUUACCUGGAGUUGGUUUGCUUGCAAGAAAGAGAACAGAGAGCCACCAUAGACAUGAAAAUCGACACAACUAUUACCUAAAGGAAUCACUCCACCCACCUUGGACUCCCACUGUCUUAGAUGAAACUGCCCUCAAGGCCAGGCAGAGGCUUCACCAGA
rnacentral:lncRNA from 1 species